AUUGAACGCUGGCGGAAUGCUUUACACAUGCAAGUCGAACGGCAGCACGGACUUCGGUCUGGUGGCGAGUGGCGAACGGGUGAGUAAUGUAUCGGAACGUGCCCAGUCGUGGGGGAUAACGUAGUGAAAAUUACGCUAAUACCGCAUACGAUCUAUGGAUGAAAGCGGGGGAUCGCAAGACCUCGCGCGAUUGGAGCGGCCGAUCUCAGCUUAGGUAGUUGGUGGGGUAGAGGCCCACAAAGCCAACGAUCUGUAGCUGGUCUGAGAGGACGACAAGCCGCACUGGAACUGAGACACGGUCCAGACUCCUACGGGAGGCAGCAGUGGGGAAUUUUGGACAAUGGGCGAAAGCCUGAUCCAGCAAUUCCGCGUGCAGGAUGAAGGCCCUCGGGUUGUAAACUGCUUUUGUACAGAACGAAAAGGUUUCUACUAAUACUAGGAGCUCAUGACGGUACUGUAAGAAUAAGCACCGGCUAACUACGUGCCAGCCGCCGCGGUAA
rnacentral:rRNA from 1 species